CAGGAGAUAGUUUAAUUAAAAAAGAACAGCAGCUUUGGGAGUUGCAAGUGUUGGUGAAAGUCCUACUCACCUGA
rnacentral:tRNA from 1 species